rnacentral:lncRNA from 1 species
CGGGGUUUCCGGGUGCCUUGGUGCCGGUUUCGCUUAGUAGCUGAGCAGGCUGUGCUCUCUGUCCUGCCGCUGGAUGCUGUGGAGGGUGUUAAGGCAAGCUUCGAAGUUGCGACAUGGAUGCAUUGACUUAUGAUGAUGUGCAUAUGAACUUCACUCGAGAAGAAUGGGCUUUGCUGAAUGCUUCACAGAAGAGUCUUUACAAAGAUGUGAUGUUGGAGAACUACAGAAACCUCAUUGCUGUAGGCAUAAAAGAAGUCUUACUGGAGAGAAACCCUAUGAAGGCAUUCAGUACUGUGAAACCUUUCUACAUCACAGUAGUCUCCAAAUGCAGAAAAUAACACACACUGGAGAGAAAUGCUACAAAUGCAGUCAAUGUGGUAAAGCCUUUGCAGGACACCAUACUCUCCAAAUACAUGAAAGAACACAUAGUGGAGCGAAAGCCUAUGAAUGUAAGCAAUGUAGUAAAUCCUUUGCCUCUCACAAUCAAUUUCAAAAACAUGAAGGAAUUCAUACUGGAGAGAAACCUUAUAAAUGUGAUCAAUGUGGUAAAGCCUUUGCACAACACAGUCAUCUUAAAAAGCAUAAAGUAACACAUACUGGAGAGAAACCUUACAAAUGUAAUCAGUGUGGUAAAAGCUUUGUUUAUUCUAAAUCUUUACGAGUACAUAAAAGAACACAUACUGGAGAGAAGCCCUAUGAAUGUAAUCAAUGUGGCAAAGCCUUUGCAUAUCAAAGUUCUUUCCAAGUACAUAAAAGAAUACAUACUGGAGAGAAGCCCUAUGAAUGUAAGCAAUGUGGCAAAUCCUUUGUUUCUCAUGCUUCACUUCGAAAACAUGAAAGAAUUCAUACUGGAGAGAAAACUUAUUAAUGUAGACAAUGUUGUAAAGCCUAUUCACAAUCAAGUCACCUCCAAUUGCAUAAAAGAACACAUACUAAAGAGUAACCUCAUGAAUAUAACCAAAGUGAUCUUGAAAGUUGUGGUGGUUUAAAUAUACUUGGCCCAUGGCAAGUGGCAGUAUUAGUGAGUAUGGCCUUUCUGGAGUAGAUGUGGCAUUUGAGAAAGUCUGUCACUGUGGGCUUAGACUCUGAGAUCCUAUGCUUAAGCUCCACCCAGGGCAAAAGAGACUUCUGGCUGCCUUCUGAUCAAGAUGUCGAAUUCUUAUCUCCUCCAGCACUACGUGUGCUUAGACACUGACCUUUUUUCCCACCUUAAUGAUAAUAGACUGAAUCUCUGCAUCUAUACACUACUCGCAAUUAGAUGUUCUUUAUAAGAGUUGCCUUGGUCAUAGUGUCUUUUCACAGCAAUAAAACCCAAAUUAAGACAAACAGCAUAAAAGAUACUACACUGGAGAGAAGCUGACAAGCAGAUAGUUCUCUGCAUCUUUGAUAACAGAUAUAACAUGUUUUAAAUAGUCUAUUCUUCCUUCUCUUCUCUCCUUCCAUUUUUCCUCAUCUGUAUUCUUCUAAAUCUCCUUUUCCUUGCCAUUUCUUUUUUUACCCCCAUGAGGACAGUGAUUUAUUAAGAUAGAAUCUCACAUGUAUUCCAGAGUAGUCUUGAAUUAAAAAUCCUCCUACCACUACCUCUUGAAGGCUGAGAUUGUAGUUGUGUAUAUCAUGCCCAGGUUUUUCAAGCAGAAAUCCAUGAGAUGUGGAACCCUGAGCUAGAAAUUUUUGAGAAAUUGAUAAGUUGAUGGCAAUAUUGAGAAAUAAAUUCAGAGAGAACAGUCAUGCCUCCACUUCUGUUAGCUCCUGGAAGACCACUACUGGAGGGAUAUGGAGUAAAGCUUAGGCAUAAUUAUAAAGCAGCCUGUUUUCACUUGAGACAAUAAGAGGCACCAAAAUGACAAAGAAGGACUAGAGCUUAAAGCAUAGUAAAGGCCUUCCCAAGCCAGACAAGGACUCCAGGAGAUGCUCUGACAGAUUUAGUGAUCCUUGGCCCAAGACAACCAACCCCAUUGUGUUAGGAGGUGUAAGAGAUGGUUCCAAGGUACUUCCGUCUAGCUUCAGAUAGUGUUUAUUUUUAACUCAGUCACAUAUUGGAUAGAGUAGAGAUGAGUAUCUUUAACAUGGCAGUCUUUCUAGACCAUUAUCCAUAUCCAAAGAGCAUCAGAACAUGGGAUCUGCUGCUGACACAUGGAAGCAAUUCCAGAAAUAUCCCAGUUAUGUAAAUAUUUGUUUUUGAAAUGUUUAAUUACAAGUUUCUUCAGAAUUUGGAAGGUUCAUAUGAAGAACACACAAUGAACAGAGUGCCUUUAGCUAUGUUACUGAUGGGCAGGGAAAGAAACCACCUGUGAAUUUUCCUUAAAUGUUUCCUUCCUGUAUUCUUUUACAUCAUGCAAAGCAUGAACUUUGAUUGGUCUCUGAGGUCUUGCACCGUUUCUCCUUGGUAUUAUUGCCUGAUGAUCAGGUAAUGAAUUCUGGUCUUUACUGUGCAUGCAGAGAUCAAGAUUUCCUAAUAACUCAAUGUGUUUUCUUAGAAUCAACAUUGUAUUGAAUAUGUAAAACAUCUAGACUGAUUUACAGUGUAAGUAGCAUUUGUCUGUGUUCUGUGCUGUUACUACACAAUUCUACAUGCAUUGAAUGUAGUUUAACUCCACUACAUUGUUUUGGCUGCUCACUAUUACUUAUUGAUCAUCUAUCUCCCAGGAAGCACAUUAUACAGUGAAACUACCUUUUCAUUGUGUUGUUUCUUGAAAUUUGCACUAGAAAACAUUAAAUUAAAAAGUGUUAUUUCUCUGGAGUAUGCUCAGCAAUUAGUUUUGUAUCAGGAAAUUAAGAGCAGCUUUCAGUUGCAUACAGUCACAGUUAACAGAGUCUGCUAUGGUCAAGUGCAAUGCAUAUUUCUUCCUUCUAGUCAUCUUGAUGAACUACAAAGUUGUUCAUUCUCAGAAAACUAAACUUAAAUAAUUAACUAAGUUAUGGAUAUAGUGACUGGGAAAUUAUGUGAAGAAUAAAACUGCACUGGAGAGAUGGCUCAGAGGUUGAAUGCACUGACUGUUCUUCCAAGGCCCUGAGUUCAAUUCCCAACAAGCCCAUGAUGGCUCACAACUAUCUGUAAUGUAAUCUUGGAGCCCUCUUCUGGGAUAGAGGCAGAACACUGUACAGAAUAAAGGAAUAAAUCUUUAAUCAUAAUAAAAGAAUAAAAAUGCAAAAUCCGUGCCCAAAAAAGGGAGAAUUCUUGUUUUCCCUUCAUAAGAAGGUAGGUGAAACUUAUUUGAGAUGGCAAAAGGCUCUAUGGCUGUUUGAAGAAGAUGGUAUGUUACCUAGAUGCUUUAAUUAGCACCUAAAGUACAGAUCAUAAUAUUUCCUUUUAUGUGGGAGGGCAGUCAUGCAAAAUACAUGUAAUUGGGCAAGUUUGCACAUCCUCUCCUCCAGCUAGAGGACUGAUCACAUUGGGAAUAGGCUACUGAAAAUGUGCUUCAAAGACUC